rfam:Gossypium hirsutum cultivar TM-1 chromosome 21, whole genome shotgun sequence
CACGUCAGCGCGACCUGCUGACGUGGAAGGAAAUCGCGUCCUUGAGGGAGCGAUUUUCUUCCACGUCAGCAGGUCGCGCUGACGUGG